UAAUACGUAGGUGGCAAGCGUUGUCCGGAAUUAUUGGGCGUAAAGCGCGCGCAGGCGGUCUUUUAAGUCUGAUGUGAAAGCCCACGGCUCAACCGUGGAGGGUCAUUGGAAACUGGAAGACUUGAGUGCAGAAGAGGAGAGUGGAAUUCCACGUGUAGCGGUGAAAUGCGUAGAGAUGUGGAGGAACACCAGUGGCGAAGGCGACUCUCUAGUCUGUAACUGACGCUGAGGCGCGAAAGCGUGGGGAGCAAACAGGAUUAGAUACCCUGGUAGUCCACGCUGUAAACGAUGAGUGCUAAGUGUUAGAGGGUUUCCGCCCUUUAGUGCUGCAGCUAACGCAUUAAGCACUCCGCCUGGGGAGUACGACCGCAAGGUUGAA
rnacentral:rRNA from 1 species